rnacentral:rRNA from 1 species
AGCUUGCUCCCUUAGGUCAGCGGCGGACGGGUGAGUAACACGUGGGUAACCUGCCUGUAAGACUGGGAUAACUCCGGGAAACCGGGGCUAAUACCGGAUGCUUGAUUGAACCGCAUGGUUCAAUCAUAAAAGGGGGCUUUUARCUACCACUUWCAGAUGGACCCGCGGCGCAUUAACUARUUGGKGAGGUAACGGCUCACCAAGGCSACSAUGCSUARCCSACCUGARAGGGUGAUCGGCCMCMCUGGGACUGAAACACGGCCCAAACUCCUACGGGAGG